CUGUGUUUGACACAGCGAGACCGCGGACGGCUCAUUAAAUCAGUCGUGGUCCAUAUGGGCCAGUGUUGAUCCUACUUGGACAACUGUGGUAAUUCCAGAGCUAAUACAUGCAACUCUUAUCCUGAAGGAGCACGGCAUUUACUUGUCGCUGUUCUCUGACGGAUGCUUUUAUUAGACCAAACCGCUGGGUGAGUGGUGUUUCACCUCAGGGUGUUCCCACUUUUGACUCGUGUGAUGGUGACUCUGAAUAACCUUUCUUGACAAGCGCAAGUACCCCUCUUAUGAGCUGGGACGGCGCUACCACUUUCGAGUGUCUGACUUAUCAGCUAUCAACCGUUCGUUAUGUGCGACCGAUGGCGUUGACGGGUAACGGGGAAUCAGAGUUCGAUUCCGGAGAGGCAGCCUGAGAGACGGCUACCACGUCCAAGGACGGCAGCAGGCACGCAAAUUACCCAAUCCCAGCAUCUGGGGGAGGUAGUGACGAAAUCUAACGAUGCGGGCGCCCUUUCUGGGGCCCCGCAAUCGGAAUGGCCACUUUCUAAACAACCUGUUGAGAACCUACUGAAGGGCAAGUCUGGUGCCAGCAGCCGCGGUAAUUCCAGCUUCAGCAGCAUCUAUUAAAGUUGCUGCGGUUAAAAGGCUCGCAGUUGAAUGUCAGUACCGAGCGCAGGUCAGGUGGACGCUGGGGCGUGGGAACACAAGGCGCGUCGCUUCUCUGGUUCUGGUGUGCGCUCUCGUUCUUGUGCGUGUGUGCCCUUGGGUGCGCGGGUGCUCGUGCGUGUUGGGUGUGCCACGUUUCUUGGGGUUGCGUUCGUGUCUCUCACAAGCCCCCGUCCGUGACAAGCCUCCUCGCUUGCGUACAUAUCUGGAAUCGGUAAAUACAAUGGAGUGUGCGCGUGUGCGGUUCGGCUCAUCUUUUCCUCUGCUUUGCGUGUCUUCCUCUCUUACGUGUGCCUUCUUGCGCGCGUGAGUUGAACUGGGGAUCGCUCGGUAUGUCUAGCUCUGAGUGUGUGACUCGUGCUCGUGUACGUUAAAAGCUCCUUCGGUUUUAAAGUCACCUUGAGUAAAUCAGAGUGCUCAAAGCAGUCGUAAGGGCCUUGUGCCCUGUGAACAGUCUUGACGGACUGACUUGGUUUUGCAUGGCAUGUCGGAAGACGACGUCGUGUGCUGGCUCAGAGAUAUAAUCAGUGGUGCAAGCCAGCCUCGACGUACUGAUUAACAGGUUCGGUCGAGGGCAUUGGUAUUGCGGGGCGAGAGGUGAAAUUCUAUGACCCCCGCAAGACCUCCUGAAGCGAAAGCGUCUGCCAAGGACGUUCUCACUAAUCAUGAACGAAAGUUAGAGGAUCGAAGGCGAUCAGAUACCGCCCUAGUUCUAACCGUAAACGAUGCCAACCAUCAAUCCGCGCGUAGCACCCUUCUUAACGGGCUCGGCGGGCAGCUCCCCACUCACGGGAAACCAGAGUCUCUGGGUUCCGGGGGGAGUCUGGUUGCAAAGCUGAAACUUAAAGGAAUUGACGGAAAGGCACCACCAGGCGUGGAGCCUGCGGCUUAAUUUGACUCAACACGGGCCAUCUCACCAGGCCAGCACUCUUGUACGAUUGACAGAUUGAGAGCUCUUUCUCGAUUCAGUGGAUGGUGGUGCAUGGCCGUUCUUAGUUGGUGGAGUGAUCUGUCUGGUUAAUUCCGAUAACGAACGAGACUCUCCCCUGCUAACUAGUCGGUUGGAUCUUGUUCGGUGAGUCGUGUGCCGGGAAAACCCGUGGGUGGCGGCAGGCGUCGUGGUGGUGGUUUUUGUUUGGAAGCGCGCACUGCUGAGUAGAGGGUGGAGCGCGCCAGCGUCUUUCAUCAUACUCCCAGUGUACAUUGCAUCUCUCCGGCUUUGGAUGCUGCUGUCUUCUCUGUUUUGUCUAUCUCUCAUGGGCCUCGGGCCACACACUCCAAGUCCGCCGCUUAUGCUAUAACUCUUCUUAGAGGGAUUCACGGUACUGAAGCCGUCAGAGACUGAGAGCAAUAACAGGUCUGUGAUGCCCUUAGAUGCUCUGGGCCGCACGCGCGCUACAAUGCCGGGCACAGCAGGUAGUUCUCCUGCUCCGACAGGAGCGGGUAACCCUCUGAAAGCCCUUGGUUUUGUCGUGUCUCGCGCACGCAUUCACCUCGUGAGUGUGUGUUUGUGGGAUACGAACGGCGUGAUGGGGCCUGGGACUUGCAAUUUUUUCCCACAAACGAGGAAUGCCUAGUAGCGGCGGGUCACUGAGCCCACCGUGACUCAGUCCCUGCCCUUUGUACACACCGCCCGUCGCUACUACCGAUUGGGUGUACCAGUGAGAGCCUUGGACUGGCGUCCGUUGUUGCCUUCGGGCAAGCGGGUCC
rnacentral:rRNA from 1 species